GACGAACGCUGGCGGCGUGCUUAACACAUGCAAGUCGAACGGUAAGGCCCUUCGGGGUACACGAGUGGCGAACGGGUGAGUAACACGUCGGUGAUCUGCCCUGCACUUCGGGCUAAGCCUGGGAAACUGGGUCUAAUUCCGGAUAGGACCGCUGCCUGCAUGGGUGGUGGUGGCAAGCUUGUUCUGUGUGGGAUGGGCCCGCGGCCUUUCAGCUUGUUGGUGGGGUGAGGGCCUGCCAAGGCGACGGCGGGUGGCCGGCCUGAGAGGGUGACCCGCCACACUGGGACUGAGAUACGGCCCGGACUCCUGCGGGAGGUAGCAGUGGGGAAUAUUGCACAAUGGGCGCAAGCCUGAUGCAGCGACGCCGCGUGAGGGAUGACGGACUUCGGGUUGUAAACCACUUACAGCACCGACGAAGCGCAAGUGACGGUAGGUGCAGAAGAAGGACCGGCCAACUACGUGCCAGCAGCCGCCGUAA
rnacentral:rRNA from 1 species